CAGCAGCCACGGUAAUACAGAGGAUGCAAGCGUUAUCCGGAAUGAUUGGGCGUAAAGCGUCUGUAGGUGGCUUUUCAAGUCCGCCGUCAAAUCCCAGGGCUCAACCCUGGACAGGCGGUGGAAACUACCAAGCUGGAGUACGGUAGGGGCAGAGGGAAUUUCCAGUGGAGCGGUGAAAUGCGUUGAGAUCGAAAAGAACACCAACAGCGAAAGCACUCUGCUGGGACGACACUGACACUAAGAGGCGAAAGCUAGGGGAGCAAAUGGGAUUAGAUACCCCUGUAGUCCCUGUCUCUUAUAC
rnacentral:rRNA from 1 species